UACAUGUGGGGCAAGCGUUGUUCGGAAUUACUGGGCAUAAAGGGUGCGUAGGCGGCUUGUUAAGUCAGGGGUGAAAGUUUUCGGCCCAACCGGAAAAUUGCCUUUGAUACUGGCGAGCUUGAGUGCGUGAGGGGUAACCGGAACGAGUCGUGUAGCGGUGAAAUGCGUAGAUAUGACUCGGAAGCCAACGGCGAAAACAGGUUACUGGUACGCAACUGACGCUGAGGCACGAAAGCGUGGGGAGCAAACAGG
rnacentral:rRNA from 1 species